rnacentral:tRNA from 1 species
UACUCUUUUAGUAUAAAUUAUUAUUUUUAAUUUCCACUUAAAAGAUCUUUUAAUAAAGAAAGAGUAA